rnacentral:rRNA from 1 species
UACAGAGGUCUCAAGCGUUGUUCGGAUUCAUUGGGCGUAAAGGGUGCGUAGGCGGCGCGGUAAGUCGGGUGUGAAAUCUCGGAGCUUAACUCCGAAACUGCAUUCGAUACUGCCGUGCUUGAGGACUGGAGAGGAGACUGGAAUUUACGGUGUAGCGGUGAAAUGCGUAGAUAUCGUAAGGAAGACCAGUGGCGAAGGCGGGUCUCGUGGACAGUUCCUGACGUGAGGCACGAAGGUCAGGGGAGCAAACGGG